rnacentral:lncRNA from 1 species
CCGCUCUCCCCUACUCUACCAGCCCACCCCUCCAAGGUCCGUCUGCGUGAGAAAAGGGGCUCGGAAGACCGUUGAAGCCCUGCGCCCACGAGAGGGGAGCCCAGCCGCCCCAAUAGGGGACGAGGAGUGGGUGCUACGGAGAAGUUUGGAUUGAUUCCGGAAAAAGAGGGACAGAGAUAAAACAGCAAGAGUAGCAAGGGGAAAAGGGAGGCAAAAGAGCAGAACUCACUCAGGCAUGGACGUUGGGGGCGGCGGUGGCUGUCGAGUGCGGGCCUGAAACCAAGAACGGCUCCCCGGGCGGGCGCGCCGGCGUCGGACUUCCGAGGCGGCGGCUUCUGCCUCUCCUGCCGCCGCCGCCGCCGCCGGAGCUGCGGCUGCCGCGGAAGUUAAUUGCAACUUGACUUCAAGUUGUCCUCUUUCCCCAUACGAAGUGGGCGUUUAAAGGGGAGAGCGAGGCGAGGAGCGAGCGAGCGAGCGCGCGGGGCCAAGGGAAGGAAGAGAAGGAGGGGGAGGGAGGAGAUGUUAACGGGCGGGGGGGGGAGAAGGGGGAGGGGGCGGCGGCGGGGGCGGGAGGGGGAAGGGGCCGGCGGGAGCUGCUCUCGUCUCGUCGGUCGCGGCGCCUGCAGUCUGGAGGCGCACCGGAGCGGCCGGGGCGUCCCCCGCGGGAGCCCGCAGCCACCCGGGACGCGCAUCCAGACGUGGCGCUUCGGACCGGGCACGCUGCGCCCGGGGGCUCGGCGGACCCCGCGUAGCCGCCGCUUCGGAGCUUGUGCGGCGCGGGCUGGCCAGCGGGGCGGCCAGGGCCCGGCCCGCCUCCCCAGCGCCCGCCCGGCUUCUCCCCCUGGCGGUGGGAGCCUCGGCGGCCGCUGGCGACACUAGGCGCACUGAAGCCCGAGCCGAGCCGAGCCCGAGCCGCCGCCGCCGCCGCCGCUGCUGCGCACCGCUCCCGGGCUCCCUCCCAGCGCGCCGGCCGGGGUGUGGGGGGCGGCGGGCCGGAGGGGCGAGGGCGGGCCAGGGGGCGCACACGGGGGUUGGCGCGGAAGACAGGACCCUCAGCCUCGAGGGAGCCCCUAGGUGACCAGGCAAAAUGGCAGUUCCUUCCAGCUGGUCCUCAGAUGGGCACAUCUAUUAGUAAGUUUCAUUUCUGUAUUUGGAUCUUUAUUCAUCCUUAUUAUGAAUUCCCCAAUACUGAGGUUUCUAGGAACCUACCUGCCAUUGGCUGAAGGGUUGCUUCUGAAUUCUUUCCCAGAGGCAGUGACAAAAAUCAAACAUCCGAUGUGUUCUUUACCUUUCAGUAAGCUCAGCCUCCCUGCUUGUGUCACAUCUCUAAACAUACGUACAUGCGUGAUUGAAACUGUCUAUUGAAAGCAAUAUUACAUUAACAUUAUCAAUACUGAAUUAGAGAAAAUAUCUAUCAAUGUCACCAAUUCCACCUGUCUCUUGAUGUAUGACUUUUUACCUGACAGGCUAAAUAACAAUAGAAAGUUCUUUUUAAAAAAUAGAAGAGUUGCUAUGCAGGGACUUUUUUGGAAUUAAGUGCCCCAGAGAACCUAGAAAUGUGCUUUAAAACUUUUUGUUUCACCUGGCAGAUCCAAAAAAAAUUUGGAAGCUUUUGGUUGAAUUCCCUCAUUACUUGAAGUUGUUUUAUGAAAAUUGAAUAUAUAUAUCUGUUAGGUUACCAAGACUUAUGGUUAGCUAUCUUAAUGGCUAGUGAUAUAAGACCUUGUAACAAACCCUACCAAUGGAACUGACAGGAUUUUACCAGGGAGGAUAUUGCAGUACCUGUAAGAGGAAGGGAUACAAAUUGGCACUUCAUACAUUUGUGAGAACAAUUGCCUUUAAUGUGUCUAUUUGGUUUUCAUAAUAUUGCAGGCCUCUGCUCUUGUAAGAAGUUAGCUGCAGAACCCACAUGUGAAUCCUUGUAGGACUCUGGAGAAGAUCAAAUGGGAGCUUAGAUGUGGAAGCUCUUUGGAAACCAAGAAACACUCUGAAAAUGAAAAGGGUGGAAGAGUAAACUGUUCCUGUUUCUCCAUCUUGACAGGAAGCAGAAGUUCUCCUUAGCUGAUUUUUCUUCUUGCCUUAUACUGGGUUCUUUAACACCAGAACAAAAAUAAAUAAAUAAAAGAAUCUUCCAGAAAUUCAUGAAGAGACUUCAGGUCAGGAAAGCCUGAACUUUCUCAUCCAACACCCGUUCAAGUCGGAGGAUGCUGAUUAAUUCAUGAUGGAAAGGUAUCAAUUUCACAGCCCAGACCUCUACAUUCUUGAAAUGCUCUUCUCAUGGGAGACAUUAAAUAAGCUUUGAAUUAACUGAGACCUCUGUGGAUUCUAUAACUCAAAGACCCAGGCUGACGGCUGGUGGAAUAGCUACCAUCUCAAACAUGGCGUGAUGCUGCAUCAGAGAGAAAAAUAAGCUCUUGCAUUGACAAUGAAAUGUCUACCCUGUAGUGACUUGUGCUUACUUCCACUCACAAGUGAUUGCCCAGAGCUACUUACCUGGCUCCAAUCUACCACUGGGUGUGUACUUGCAAUCUACCAUGUACCUAGAAGAUGAGAGAAACAAAUUAUUAAUGAUGACCACACCCCAAUACUAACAACAAUUGCAGAAGAAUCAAUGACUUAAACAAAAAUGUGGCCAUUGAAGGAAUAGAAAAUAUAGUGAGUUUAGUGUAAAUUUAAAAGUGAUUUAUAAGUAACAUACAAAAUCCAGAAACUAUAAGAAAACAGAUUCACAAAUAUAAAUAUAUAAAGCUUUAAAAAAGUUUAAUGUAACAAAAAUGGCAUAAAAGGAGUCAAAAGUUUUUAAAAAAUAUGUUAAUGCAGUAGAUUAGGUGCUAAUUUUCUUAAUAUACUAAUAACUCAAUAAGAGAAAUUUUGUAUCUAGAAGAAAAUGAACAUGGAAAUAGGCAAUUCACAGAUAAUGGCAUUCAUCUGGCGAAUAAAAAAAUGUGUGACAUUCAGAAUAAAAUAAAAAUGAAAUACUGGUUUUCAGCCAUCACUUGAGCAAAACUGCAAAGAUACAAUGAGACUCAGGCAUUCCCAUAUACUGUGGAUGGGAGGGCAAAGACCUUCAACCUCUAAUUUUAUUUCUAUUUUUAAACAUGUAUGUUAAAAUUUUAAAUGCUAAUGUCCUCUUGACCCAAUAAUCUUAUGUCUAAGAUUUGAAUCUGGAGAUAAACUUGAACAAAUGCAUCUAGAUUUAUGUAUAAGUAUUAAUAUAGUUUAGAUGUGUGUUCCCACCCAAAUCUCAUAUUGAAAUGUAAUCCCCAGUGUUGGAGGUGGGUCCUGGUGUGAGGUGAUUGGAUUAUGGGGGUGAAUUUCUCAGGAAUGGUUUAACAUCAUCCCCUACGGCCCUGUCCUUGCAUAGUGAGGUGAGUUCUUCUGAGAUCUGGUCAUUUAAAGUGUGCAGCACCUCCCCGCCUCACUCUCUCUUGCUCCUGCUUUUGCUAUGUGAUGUGUGAGCUACUGCUGUGCCUUACACCAUGAUUUGAAGCUCCCUGAGGCCUCCCCAGAAGGAGAUGCUGCCAUGCUUCCUGUACAGCCUGCAGAAUUGUGAGGCAAUUAAACCUCGUUUCUUUAUAAAUUACCCAGUCUCACGUAUUUCUUUAUGGCAAUGCAAUAAUAGACUAAUACUAAUAUGUUCAGUG